GAUCUCUUUUCGAAAAGUUUUACGAAAGUUGGAAAAUAUAGGCUAAAUAAGAAAAUGUACAGUUAACAUUUUUUAAUAAAAUCCAUGCGCGUUUUCGGUAUUUUACCUUCAAGUUACGAACUCGUGUCGUGCUCGAAAGUGAAAAAGUGGACGAAAAGCUAAACUUUGACGCGGCUAGAAAACGAUCUCGAAAUCGGGAACAGUGAAAAAUGUAGGUAACGAACGAUAAAGUGACGUGGAAGGACGUGAAGUCCUGCGGACGUUAUUCUGGGGAAUCGCCGUGGCCCGGCGUAGCCUCUGAUCUCUUAUUCUAGUAUCGUUCUGGUACCAAGAUGCUGGACAUAUUUCGCGGUCUGAAGAGUCUCAUAAAAAUCUCGCACAUCCAUAUCGACAGCGCCGUCUUCCGCUUGCAUUACAGCCUGACUGUGAUCCUGCUGAUAGCGUUCUCCCUGAUUGUCACAACCCGCCAAUACGUUGGCAAUCCUAUCGACUGUAUACACAGCAAGGACCUGCCCGAAGAUGUUCUGAACACUUACUGCUGGAUACACAGCACCUACACGAUAACCGCGGCGUACCGGAAGAGAGAAGGUUUAGAAGUACCCUUUCCUGGCGUCGACAAUUCCAAAUCGUAUUCCGAAUCCGAGCGAAAGGAGUACAAAUACUACCAGUGGGUCUGCUUCAUGCUGUUCCUGCAGGCGAUCCUCUUCUAUACCCCGCGCUGGCUCUGGAAGGGCUGGGAGGGUGGCAAGAUUCAUGCCCUUAUGAUGGAUCUCGACAUCGGACUCUGCUCCGAGGUGGAGAAAAAGCAAAAGAAGAAAAUGCUGCUCGACUACCUCUGGGAGAAUCUUCGCUUUCACAAUUGGUGGGCUUACAGGUACUACCUAUGCGAGGUCCUUGCGCUCCUAAAUGUGAUCGGUCAGAUGUUUCUAAUGAACCGUUUCUUCGACGGCGCCUUCUUGACCUUUGGCAUCGACGUACUUAGAUUCCUCGAAUCCGAUCAAGAAGACCGAGUGGACCCAAUGAUUUAUGUCUUCCCACGAAUGACCAAAUGCACCUUUUACAAGUACGGCGUCAGCGGAGAAGUCGAGAGACAUGAUGCUGUCUGUAUACUGCCUCUAAAUGUUGUGAACGAGAAGAUCUAUGUCUUUCUGUGGUUUUGGUUCCUUCUCCUCGGCGUGCUCAGUUUCUUUACGGUUUUAUAUAGGAUCCUAAUAAUAUUUUCGCCGCGCACGAGGGUCUACCUGUUGCGAAUGAGGUUUCGUUUGGUACGAAGGGACGCCGUAGAGACCAUAGUGCGUCGUAGUAAGGUCGGUGAUUGGUUUCUUCUCUACAUGCUGGGCGAGAAUUUGGACACCGUGAUAUACAGAGACGUGAUGCACGAAUUGGCGAACAAGCUCGCCUCGAGGCAUCACCACGGCGUACCGGGAGUGAAGGGCGAGCUUCAAGAAGCCUGAUCGAGGUUGCCUCGGAGGGACGGUACGUUCGAUUCGCCGCUGCCGCUGCCGCAGUCCUGCUCUCGCUCAUCUGCAUCGCGCGGUCGUCGUCGCGUCCGGGGACGACGUGGGACGUGCGAUCGCAGUCGGAGCUUCAGAAGACUAGCUGAUAGAUCUUCCUCGAGGAUCCGCGGGUCUGGUCUCGCAAAGAGACGCGUUUUUUCCUUCCGCCGAUUGUUGCUCGUCGAACUCGAAGCGAUGCGACAGCGAUAGUCGCGCAAAGUUGCGUUCGUGGAGAUCACAAUUGCUGACGUAAGCGCGAAAGGUGCAUUUGGCCAUGUCUUGCAGCACAGGGAAGUGAACUCGUCGAAAUUGCAUACCGGUUCCAGUCUCCGGUCGCAGUCGGUGGAUUCAACCGGUGGCCCGCAAACGAAAAGACAGAGACGCACGGCUGCGCGUCUGCGAGAGCGAUGGAAAGGACCAAAACUACACCGGCGUUGCUGUACUUGGCAGGAGAUGCGUCGUCCCUGGAUAGCGACACGCGUUAAAAGACACUUCAGGAACGGCGGCGUGGGUCGUCGAACGGAUAUCGCACCGACCGGUCAUCGAGAGCAACGCCAGCCAAAGAGAUCUUCGUGCCUUUAUAUUUACUCCCGUGUCGUCAAAAGACAGGAUCUCGAAAGAGUGCCAGACAUAGAAUGUAUCGUUGCACGGGAUAUCUUGUUUUUGCUAAUCUUGGAUCCGCUAUAAAGAAUACCUUUAAAGAAUGCCCUUAGAAUCAGCAAUUGAGAGACAACAAGAAUCGAGAAACAAGUUUUUCGUAAAAAAAUUAUAAGCUUUUCAUAAGUUACAUUC